rnacentral:misc_RNA from 1 species
AAAAAAUGUUACCUGCUGGAGAGGCGAUUUGAGUGAACCGUCAAAUGGGUCAUCACAAUUUUUAUCAAUCUCAUCUGGGUCUGAAUUUUCGUGCGGAGUUUUGGAAAGUUCAAACAGGGUUGUCUGUUGGGGAAAUAGUGCUAUCGCUUCAACUAUCCAAUCUGAGUUCCGUAAUGAAAGGAUGAUGAAUAUAUAUGCCGGCGGAAGACACGCUUGUGGGAUGAACG